rnacentral:rRNA from 1 species
AGUGAACGCUGGCGGUAAGCCUAACACAUGCAAGUCGAACGGCAGCACAGUAAGAGCUUGCUCUUACGGGUGGCGAGUGGCGGACGGGUGAGGAAUACAUCGGAAUCUACUUUUUCGUGGGGGAUAACGUAGGGAAACUUACGCUAAUACCGCAUACGACCUACGGGUGAAAGCAGGGGAUCUUCGGACCUUGCGCGAUUGAAUGAGCCGAUGUCGGAUUAGCUAGUUGGCGGGGUAAAGGCCCACCAAGGCGACGAUCCGUAGCUGGUCUGAGAGGAUGAUCAGCCACACUGGAACUGAGACACGGUCCAGACUCCUACGGGAGGCAGCAGUGGGGAAUAUUGGACAAUGGGCGCAGGCCUGAUCCAGCCAUACCGCGUGGGUGAAGAAGGCCUUCGGGUUGUAAAGCCCUUUUGUUGGGAAAGAAAAGCAGCAGGUUAAUACCCCGCUGUUCUGACGGUACCCAAAGAAUAAGCACCGGCUAACUUCGUG